AGGACGAACGCUGGCGGCGUGCUUAACACAUGCAAGUCAAGGGGGUUCUGGGGGCAACCCUGGGGCAACCGGCGAACGGGUGCGUAACACGUGAGCGACCUACCGAGGUGCGGGGGAUAGCCGGCCCAACGGCCGGGUAAUACCGCAUACGUUCCUUUGGGGGCAUCCCUGGGGGAGAAACCUGCGGGUAAGACUCGUGGGGCAGCUCGAGGGCUCGCGGCCUAUCAGCUAGUUGGCGGGUAACGCCACAAGGCGAUGACGGUAGC
rnacentral:rRNA from 1 species